UUUUUUGGGGGGGGGGAGCUGGGCUUGGGAGAGCAGCUCCUGGGUAGGGCUGAGACCGGCAAACUCGUGACACGUGUGGGCUGGCCCAGCUCUGCGGGCACAGCAGCCCCGGUCUCAUUUUGAGGGUGGGCAUCAGCCGCGUCCCGUGGUGGUUAUGGGGACGGGUUGUGGGGCUGGGGCUGGGGCCGGCAGCCCCCCCUCACCGUGCCUGUCCCCCGCAGCCGGGCCAUCCGGGCGCUGCGGGACGAGGUGUGGCGGCUGCGGCGGAGGCUGGAGGAGAGCCUGCGCCGGUCCCGCAGCUACCCCGAGGGCAAGGCCGCCCCGCGGAGCGCCCAGGCCAGGAGGCAGCCGGCGGCGAGAGGACCCUCGUCCCCCCGGGACGCAGCGCCCGCGGGGGAGCCGAGCCCCCCGGCACGGGGCAGGGUGACCCCCGCCGCUGUGACAAGGGGCAGGUCGGCAUCGCUGCCGCGGGACAGGACCGAGCUGGACCUCAGCUCCGAGUCGGGCCGCUCGCUGGCUGGGCACGGGGACAGGCGGCACCAGGGCACCCCGGCCACACAGAAGCGCUCUCGGAGCCCCCCGGGCAUGGGGACGGUGCGGGGGCAGUACACAGGGACGCGGUACCAGGUGCCACCGCCCGCCACCCCGGCACCCCGAGGAGAGCCCAGCACCCCGGGGUGCCCCCAGUGCCGCGGGAACAGGACGGCAUCGGCCGGUUCCCCGGCGGGCGAUGCCGUGCGGCAGCCCCGGCAGAGCACCCCCAGGACACGGCGCUGCCCCACGUGCCGGGCACCCCGGGCCGUCCCCACGUCGGGCAGCAGGGACGGAGCCGCGCACGCAGAGCUUGGCACCGACGCCGCGUCCUCGCCGGGCUCCCGUCCCCGUCCCCGAGCCGAGCCGCCGGAGCAGCCGGGACUGUGGUACCUGGCGGGCGGCCCCCCCGUCGGCUACCUCGCCCCCGUCCCCCUUGUGCCUUACGCGCCCCCCCUGCUGUAAGGAUGCUCUGCACCGGGGGGGGGGGACACCAGCUUGUCCGGGGGGGCCACAAGCACCCCAGGGCUGCCCCACAUCCCCUGGCGUGGCCACGGACCCCAGGCACUGGGGCUGGGCUGCGGGAGGGGGGUCCCAGCAACUUCUGGGGGGGCUGAG
rnacentral:lncRNA from 1 species